AGACCCGAAACCCGGUGAUCUAGCCAUGGGCAGGUUGAAGGUUGGGUAACACUAACUGGAGGACCGAACCGACUAAUGUUGAAAAAUUAGCGGAUGACCUGUGGCUGGGGGUGAAAGGCCAAUCAAACCGGGAGAUAGCUGGUUCUCCCCGAAAGCUAUUUAGGUAGCGCCUCGUGAAUUCAUCUCCGGGGGUAGAGCACUGUUUCGGCUAGGGGGCCAUCCCGGCUUACCAACCCGAUGCAAACUGCGAAUACCGGAGAAUGUUAUCACGGGAGACACACGGCGGGUGCUAACGUCCGUCGUGAAGAGGGAAACAACCCAGACCGCCAGCUAAGGUCCCAAAGUCAUGGUUAAGUGGGAAACGAUGUGGGAAGGCCCAGACAGCCAGGAUGUUGGCUUAGAAGCAGCCAUCAUUUAAAGAAAGCGUAAUAGCUCACUGGUCGAGUCGGCCUGCGCGGAAGAUGUAACGGGGCUAAACCAUGCACCGAAGCUGCGGCAGCGAACGUAUCACCCAAGACAACUUUACGGAGUUGACGAUUGACGGAGCGAAGCGACGUCAAAGCGUUCAUUAAAGUCGAGUUGGCUUAGGGAUACGUUCGUUGGGUAGGGGAGCGUUCUGUAAGCCUGUGAAGGUGUGUCGUGAGGCAUGCUGGAGGUAUCAGAAGUGCGAAUGCUGACAUAAGUAACGAUAAAGCGGGUGAAAAGCCCGCUCGCCGGAAGACCAAGGGUUCCUGUCCAACGUUAAUCGGGGCAGGGUGAGUCGACCCCUAAGGCGAGGCCGAAAGGCGUAGUCGAUGGGAAACGGGUUAAUAUUCCCGUACUUGGUGUUACUGCGAAGGGGGGACGGAGAAGGCUAUGUUGGCCGGGCGACGGUUGUCCCGGUUUAAGCGUGUAGGUGUGUGUUCCAGGUAAAUCCGGUUCACUUUAACACUGAGGCGUGACGACGAGGCACUACGGUGCUGAAGCAACAAAUGCCCUGCUUCCAGGAAAAGCCUCUAAGCAUCAGGUAACAUCAAAUCGUACCCCAAACCGACACAGGUGGUCAGGUAGAGAAUACCAAGGCGCUUGAGAGAACUCGGGUGAAGGAACUAGGCAAAAUGGUGCCGUAACUUCGGGAGAAGGCACGCUGACACGUAGGUGAAGUGAUUUACUCAUGGAGCUGAAGUCAGUCGAAGAUACCAGCUGGCUGCAACUGUUUAUUAAAAACACAGCACUGUGCAAACACGAAAGUGGACGUAUACGGUGUGACGCCUGCCCGGUGCCGGAAGGUUAAUUGAUGGGGUCAGCGCAAGCGAAGCUCCUGAUCGAAGCCCCGGUAAACGGCGGCCGUAACUAUAACGGUCCUAAGGUAGCGAAAUUCCUUGUCGGGUAAGUUCCGACCUGCACGAAUGGCGUAAUGAUGGCCAGGCUGUCUCCACCCGAGACUCAGUGAAAUUGAACUCGCUGUGAAGAUGCAGUGUACCCGCGGCAAGACGGAAAGACCCCGUGAACCUUUACUAUAGCUUGACACUGAACAUUGAGCCUUGAUGUGUAGGAUAGGUGGGAGGCUUUGAAGUGUGGACGCCAGUCUGCAUGGAGCCGACCUUGAAAUACCACCCUUUAAUGUUUGAUGUUCUAACGUGGACCCGUAAUCCGGGUUGCGGACAGUGUCUGGUGGGUAGUUUGACUGGGGCGGUCUCCUCCUAAAGAGUAACGGAGGAGCACGAAGGUUGGCUAAUCCUGGUCGGACAUCAGGAGGUUAGUGCAAUGGCAUAAGCCAGCUUGACUGCGAGCGUGACGGCGCGAGCAGGUGCGAAAGCAGGUCAUAGUGAUCCGGUGGUUCUGAAUGGAAGGGCCAUCGCUCAACGGAUAAAAGGUACUCCGGGGAUAACAGGCUGAUACCGCCCAAGAGUUCAUAUCGACGGCGGUGUUUGGCACCUCGAUGUCGGCUCAUCACAUCCUGGGGCUGAAGUAGGUCCCAAGGGUAUGGCUGUUCGCCAUUUAAAGUGGUACGCGAGCUGGGUUUAGAACGUCGUGAGACAGUUCGGUCCCUAUCUGCCGUGGGCGCUGGAGAACUGAGGGGGGCUGCUCCUAGUACGAGAGGACCGGAGUGGACGCAUCACUGGUGUUCGGGUUGUCAUGCCAAUGGCACUGCCCGGUAGCUAAAUGCGGAAGAGAUAAGUGCUGAAAGCAUCUAAGCACGAAACUUGCCCCGAGAUGA
rnacentral:rRNA from 1 species